UACAGAGGGUGCGAGCGUUGUCCGGAAUCACUGGGCGUAAAGGGCGCGUAGGUGGCCCGACAAGUCCGUGGUGAAAGCUCGACGCUCAACGUCGAGUCGGCCAUGGAUACUGUGGGGCUGGAGCACUGUAGAGGCUCAUGGAAUUCCGGGUGUAGCGGUGGAAUGCGUAGAGAUCCGGAAGAACACCGGUGGCGAAGGCGGUGAGCUGGGCAGUAGCUGACACUGAGGCG
rnacentral:rRNA from 1 species